GAUGAACGCUGGCGGCGUGCCUAAUACAUGCAAGUCGAGCGAGCAGACGAGGAGCUUGCUCCUCUGACGUUAGCGGCGGACGGGUGAGUAACACGUGGAUAACCUACCUAUAAGACUGGGAUAACUUCGGGAAACCGGAGCUAAUACCGGAUAAUAUAUUGAACCGCAUGGUUCAAUAGUGAAAGACGGUUUUGCUGUCACUUAUAGAUGGAUCCGCGCCGCAUUGGCUAGUUGGUAAGGUAACGGCUUACCAAGGCAACGAUGCGUAGCCGACCUGAGAGGGUGAUCGGCCACACUGGAACUGAGACACGGUCCAGACUCCUACGGGAGGCAGCAGUAGGGAAUCUUCCGCAAUGGGCGAAAGCCUGACGGAGCAACGCCGCGUGAGUGAUGAAGGUCUUCGGAUCGUAAAACUCUGUUAUUAGGGAAGAACAAAUGUGUAAGUAACUAUGCACGUCUUGACGGUACCUAAUCAGAAAGCCACGGCUAACUACGUG
rnacentral:rRNA from 1 species